GUUGGUUGAGCAGUAGUAACUUGGCUUGUUGAACUGUUCAUGAGGCUGGUUGAACCAGUGCUAAUUUCGUUAUAGUUGAACUGUUUGUCUCUGCUCCAGUUGGUUGAGGAGUAGUAACUUGGCUUGUUGAACUGUUCAUGAGGCUGGUUGAACCAGUGCUAAUUUCGUUAUAGUUGAACUGUUUGUCUCUGCUCCAGUUGGUUGAGGAGUAGUAACUUGGCUUGUUGAACUGUUCAUGAGGCUGGUUGAACCAGUGCUAAUUUCGUUUGUAGUAGAAUUACUUGUCUCUG